CGGAAUCAAAUGUUCGUGGCUCAAACAGAACCACACAAGGGCAAGAAAUAGAGAAGAAAACUACGUAAGCCUAAAACCCCAAACCAUUCACAUACGUCUACCUCCCAUUAAAUCUCCACACAACUACCAGAAUAGAUUAUCACCGAAUAGGCAAACAUAGAAAUAUCAUUGAUAGAAACUAGAACAUGUACACAUCUCUGCCUACAAACGCGGAUCAACAGCCUUUAACUAUACGAGCACCUCACAACACUUUCCAAUAACAAAAAACCCCAACAUUCCCUGAGACUAGAAAAUAUAAUUACCGAACAUUCCCUCACACCAACAAGUUGAAAACUCACUGGAUUUAGUUCUAUCUGUAACCUAUGUGAACCAUGAAAUGGCAUCCACCUAAACACGAUUUCCACAAUUUCAUACAAACAAUUUGCUAAAAUCCCUAACCUUUCACACAGAUUCAAACAGUAAAAAUCCAACACUUAUUUAUUGGGUUUCGACCAUUGUUUCUAGCAAUAUUUCACAGAUGUUCACAUUCAACAAAAACAAAAAGCACUUUUCACCCAGAAA
rnacentral:lncRNA from 1 species